UACGUAGGGCGCAAGCGUUGUCCGGAAUUAUUGGGCGUAAAGAGCUCGUAGGCGGUCUGUUGCGUCUGCCGUGAAAACCCGAGGCUUAACCUCGGGCCUGCGGUGGAUACGGGCAGACUAGAGGUAGGUAGGGGAGAAUGGAAUUCCCGGUGUAGCGGUGAAAUGCGCAGAUAUCGGGAGGAACACCGGUGGCGAAGGCGGUUCUCUGGGCCUUACCUGACGCUGAGGAGCGAAAGCGUGGGUAGCGAAACAGG
rnacentral:rRNA from 1 species